GCUAAGCACAGAAUUGAGCUAUUUAGCCAUUAGGGUUCAUUUCUAACUUAGUUAAGGCUCUGAUGAGACCCUCACACUGAGUAGAAAAGCCUUGGUUAUAAUGAUAUAGGUAGAGUUUAUUUGUGCCUUGGAAUAGUUCAGUGUUGGGCUGUGUAUUACUAGGAGAUAGAACCAGCUAGAUCAUUGUAACUGCACAUUCACAAACACUAACUUUGCACAUUCCUCUAGAAUGUGCAUGUCAGAAUCGUGAGGAUUUGUCUCUCCAUUAGCAUCUUCCUUCCAUAUAGCUCCCAAGAGGUCCUUCCUAGGUAUUUUGCAAACACCAUCAUCAACUCAAGGAAAAUACCAUCAAGUUACUGAGGAUGUAGUGAGCAGUACAUAACAACAUAGACCCUUGGUACAGCCUGUGACCCAUUACUUCUGAACAGGGACUACAAGAAGAAGGAAGGCACUGGUGCCCACCUAUGUGACAAAUACCAUCACUCCCCUGACUCCUUCUGACUACCGGUUAAGAUAAAAGCUAUGGACACCAGCAUACUCUCUGAGUACCAUCACUGAUAUGAAAAGAUGUUUGAACAUUUUAAACAAAUUUGAAAGGUAGCAGUUUCAUCAUUUUUAGUGUAACACACUGGUGGACAAGAUACUUUCACAUUGACAGCUCUGUUCAUCUGCCCACCAUAUAACAAAAAUAAUGAGUUCAUCAAAAUCAUUUCAUCAUCUUUAUCAAAGAAGAUCACAAUAUUUAAAAACAUACAAAAAUAAAAAAAGUGC